UACGUAGGGUGCAAGCGUUAAUCGGAAUUACUGGGCGUAAAGCGUGCGCAGGCGGCUAUGCAAGACAGAUGUGAAAUCCCCGGGCUUAACCUGGGAACUGCAUUUGUGACUGCAUGGCUAGAGUACGGUAGAGGGGGAUGGAAUUCCGUGUGUAGCAGUGAAAUGCGUAGAUAUGCGGAGGAACACCGAUGGCGAAGGCAAUCCCCUGGACCUGUACUGACGCUCAUGCACGAAAGCGUGGGGAGCAAACAGG
rnacentral:rRNA from 1 species